AGGAGGGGAGGAAGGAGCCGCACAGAGCGGGGCAGAGGAAGUCCCGCCGGUCACUCGCAGCCCCGAGGGGUCCCCGCGCCUCCCGCGGCCGCUCCGGGGGCGCCGCUCCGGGAUGUCCCCGCCCGGGGGUCGCCGCUGUCCCCCGGCGCUGCUGGCGCUGCUGCUGGGCCUGGCCGGGAGCCGAGGAUCCCCGGAAUGCCAAAACCGAGCGGUGGCCGCGGGAGGAUCGCUGUGCCUGUUGGCCCUUGGAGGAUUCCAGCCUUGGGAAUCGUUGUUUAAAGUGGAACGUUUUGGGAUUUAUGGAGGUGAAACCCCUGAUUUUCCCCUUUUUUGGGCUGGGUUGGCGUGAAGCUAGAACUUUUCCACGGUUUUUUUUGGAGGCUCAGGGAUCAUCUCCAUCGUCCCCGAGAUUUCUUCCCACCCCGCUGGAUCCAUGUCCCACCCUCCGGAGCCAGGUCCUCCUCUGGGGGGCAAAGGAAGGGAUUUUCUCCCCAAAAAUGGGGCUGGGAGGAAACAUCUCUGAGCUUUUUCCAUCAUCCUCUGAUCCCCGAGCUGUGGGAUGUCCCGGCCCCGGGAAAAAUCCAGAAAACCCUAAAAACGCGGUGUUCAGGAUGGAAUUUAAUGUG